AAGGUUUUAAGUUAAACAAACUAAUAGCCUUCAAAGCUAUAAAUAAAGAACAUUUUUUUAAGCCUUA
rnacentral:tRNA from 1 species